rnacentral:rRNA from 1 species
AUUCCAGCUCCAAUAGCGUAUAUUAAAGUUGUUGUGGUUAAAAAGCUCGUAGUUGGAUCUCAACAGCCUUGAAGCGGUUAACUUUGUAGUUUUACUGCUUUAUAGGCUGUGCUUUUGCUGGAGGUUUAGGGGUGCUCUUGAUCGAGUGUCUCUGGAUGCCAGCAGGUUUACUUUGAAAAAAUUAGAGUGCUCAAAGCAGGCUAAAAUGCCUGAAUAUUCGUGCAUGGAAUAAUAGAAUAGGAUGUCGAUCCUAUUUUGUUGGUUUUCGGGACUCGACAUAAUGAUAAAUAGGGACAGUCGGGGGCAUUUGUAUUCAAACGACAGAGGUGAAAUUCUUGGUCCGUUUGAAGACAAACUACUGCGAAAGCAUUUGCCAAGAAUGUUUUCAUUG